rnacentral:rRNA from 1 species
AUUGAACGCUGGCGGCAUGCUUCACGCAUGCAAGUCGAACGGUAACAGGUUAAGCUGACGAGUGGCGAACGGGUGAGUAAUGCAUCGGAACGUGCCCGGUCGUGGGGGAUAACGCAGCGAAAGCUGCGCUAAUACCGCAUACGAUCUGAGGAUGAAAGCGGGGGACCGUAAGGCCUCGCGCGAUCGGAGCGGCCGAUGUCAGAUUGGGUAGUUGGUGGGGUAAAGGCUCACCAAGCCAACGAUCUGUAGCUGGUCUGAGAGGACGACCAGCCACACUGGGACUGAGAAACGGCCCAGACUCCUACGGGAGGAAGCAGUGGGGAAUUUUGGACAAUGGGCGAAAGCCUGAUCCAGAAAUGCCGCGUGCAGGAAGAAGGCCUUCGGGUUGUAAACUGCUUUUGUACGGGGCGAAAAGGUCUCCUCUAAUACAGGGGGCUCAUGACGGUACCGUAAGAAUAAGCACCGGCUAACUACGUGCCAGCCGCCGCCGUAA